AAAUAGCAAGUUGAUUCAGAGAAGCAUUACCCCACAACCUCCAGUCACGAAUGGGUAGCUUAGCACACAAGUAGACACAUAUAGUAGCCUCUACGAAUAAAAGAAAGAGUAAAAGUACAAAAGGCUUGGCUUAGCUCCUCAAUUUCACACAGGAUUCUCAUAGGGUAACCAAACCAUGACAUUGAGCUUUCAGAACCGGCAGUUUCAUCAACCAUGCAAACUAUUUCCACAACGUGGGUACCUCUUGACUCUUGAGAUAUUGACUGUUUCUUUUUCAGUGUACUGAAAUCAGCAACGAGAAGAAUUGGGGAAUUAAUCUCUGCAAAAUGAGGUAGCAUCAUUGAUAUCUUGAUUUUAAACACUAUUGACCGAUUCGACGGCUGCAAACCUUUUUUUAGCAAAACAACAUCAAAACAAGGAUUACAGAAUAUUAGGCACAUCAAGAUAUUCUUGCCUUUCAUACACAGUUUGUUCUCACCUGAUAGUGUUGGUGCACAGUUUGCGAUCAUUGGAACCAUGGGCUCUCCUAAUGGUGAUGUUGCACUACUGAUCUCUUCCAUUACUAGAUCCUGGGAUGAGAAUUGCAAAGUCAGAAAGGAGAUCAUCUUUCGCAUGUGAGAUGUCGAGCACAUGGACCAGAACAAGGGCACAACUUAUGGCAAGAGUUCUAAUGUAGUUUAGGCAUAGAAAAUAAUUGCUGCAUCAUAAUAAUCGAGGUAAACAAGUUGGCAUUGCGAAGACCAAAGAUAACGAGAGUGCAAAAGAAUCCAGAAGAUGCAAGAAAAACAGAAGGUAUGUUUGUUUAACAUAUUCAUCCAGCCAUGUCCUGCUUUUUGUUCCAGGAAAUGGCCGUUCCAGAUGAAACAAUGAGUCCUUCUGAGUUAGGACCUCUUCCGUUAGGAGCAUCUGGUUCAUUAAUCGGGAAAGAAAAUGUUAGUACCAAUUACCAAAUCAGUAGAGAAGGUUAAAGAGAGUACAAGGUGUGACCAUUUGAAUUUGAUUCAUCGGUUUGCAUAAUAAAAUUGUGUAAUAUAAUUAGUUGCACAAAUAUUCAAAACAACUUGUACAUUUGGCCAUUUCUUUACCAGAUUCCAUGUUCUGUUUCUGACACUAACCAUGCUUCAUAGCAUCACAGGGUAUUAAUAUUUUCUAUGGUGAUAAAUUUUGACUAUGAUUACCAAUAGUAAUUCGGUUUACAUUUGUCUAAUUAGUUGUUCCUCUUUUCGUUCCUUGCAUUAAACUAUAAUUAAAAGGCUCAAAUGUAUUUCAUCUUCUUUGUGCUGCACCUCCCUCUCCCUCUGCUCACUCACCUGCUAAUCUCCUCGCACCGGUUGCUGCUAAUCUUCCAAUGGUUGAUGUUUGUUAGCUAGUUAAAUGGCUCGCUUUUUUCCUAAUGGCCCAUUAGGUAGAGGUUAGCUAUGCACGUAGUGGUGCUCAUGGCCUCACUGCUUAGCAGGCUUUCCUUUGGGUCAUUAGCUAGCUAUGCUAUGCACGUGGUGGUUAAUUUGGCAGAAAGAAUCCUUGUCCUCUUUUUGAUUUCCUUGCUGUCAUCAAAUUGACCGACGAAAAACUCUUGCCUCUGCUUAAAAUAAAGCCUAGUCAUCAAAUUCCACAAGUAAUGGAUCGACAACAUAUUUGUUUUGACUUUUGUACAACAACAACAACAAUACAUUGAACGAUCUGAGCUAUAUAUAGAUGUUGAGGAAUAAAGAUGAUAUAUACUUGCUUCUGUUCUGUCGCUGGAGCAGGCACGCAGCAAGUGAUAGCAGAAUAUUUGAAUGGCUGCUACACAGGCCAGGUGCUCUGCUGCUAGUUAAGCUACAGCAGGUCAGGGCUAGCCACAAACCGAAACCGAGUGGACGAGCGUGGCGGCGAGGAGUGAGGCUGCGAUACAAUCAUUGUACUAUCCUUGGCUACAGGUGAUAGUAGAAAGAAUAUGCAGCAGCAUUUUUAUUCACAAAUUUGUCAUGAUUAGUUGUUUUGGUGCCAUUAGUGAACAAAUAGACACUAAACUUUUCAAAAACCAGUGAAGUGCUAAAUACUGCAAGUGUGUAAUAAAUUUCAGUCUUGUACUGACAAGCACUUGACUUUUCAAGUACUUAAACAGGUAGAUGAGAUUAUUCCAUUCUCAUGUACAGUUACAGCAAGUUAACAAAGUUUCACCAUACCGAAUUGCUUGAAAAUCUAGUGUAAGCAAAAUCUAGCAAGCCGACUGGGAAUAAGAAAAAAUACCCAUAGAUCCAACUUGAAGAUACUUACCCACUGAAUGAUCUUUUAUUCCCAAAAAGGGUACUCCAGUCUAUUAGUUCUUUAUGUUUUUUUCAUCUACAUUCCAUCACAUGUGCGAGGGGUCUCCAGCGGUCAUGGAAAUAAUCAAGUGUGAUUUUCUUAUUGCAGCAACUAGAAUUGGUCAGAAUUAAAGUUUUCUAUAAUUUCAUAUAAUGGAUCAUGUUUAAUAAGGUGAGCACCAAAGAUCAAGAUUCCUAUACGAUGUAACAAGAAAAAGGGUCAUAUAGCUGCUUGUACUAUUUUCCUAAUUUCAUCUAAAUUGACAGAACCAAUAUGGAGCAUGGUAAACCUGCAUUCCUGAAGACUCGAGGGACACUAUGUUUCUUCUCUGCCGUAAGCAGAUGUUGGAGGUUAGAUGGGGCAACAAAUGGUAGAUCGAGGAGCCACCUGUGGAGAAUGGCUGGACAGGGUAAGACAAAUGGUAGAUCAAGGUUGUCCUCUAGACGCCGGAGAACGAUACCUGGGGAUUUUCUCGGGCAGCGUCGCGGCGCAGCAGAAGAGAGGUUCGCCCGGGCAGACCGGCCGCCGGCGACGAGAUGUCCAGGAUUCAUCGGGGCGGAGAUGGACCAGUGCCUCCAGUGGCCAAGAUCUACACCGCCGUCGUCGUUCGCGAGCUAUAUGGGGACGGGCUCGCCAUUAGGGCCACUAGGGUUGGAGAUUUUUUGAGCCUCAGCCGCCGCUGCUCGCAUUGGAAGGAAGUAGAAGGGGAUGACCGCUCCAGAAAAGGCG
rnacentral:lncRNA from 1 species